rnacentral:rRNA from 1 species
AUUGAACGCUGGCGGCAGGCCUAACACAUGCAAGUCGAGCGGAUGAAGGGAGCUUGCUCCUGGAUUCAGCGGCGGACGGGUGAGUAAUGCCUAGGAAUCUGCCUGGUAGUGGGGGAUAACGUCCGGAAACGGGCGCUAAUACCGCAUACGUCCUGAGGGAGAAAGUGGGGGAUCUUCGGACCUCACGCUAUCAGAUGAGCCUAGGUCGGAUUAGCUAGUUGGUGGGGUAAAGGCCUACCAAGGCGACGAUCCGUAACUGGUCUGAGAGGAUGAUCAGUCACACGGAAACUGAGACACGGUCCAGACUCCUACGGGAGGCAGCAGUGGGGAAUAUUGGACAAUGGGCGAAAGCCUGAUCCAGCCAUGCCGCGUGUGUGAAGAAGGUCUUCGGAUUGUAAAGCACUUUAAGUUGGGAGGAAGGGCAGUAAGUUAAUACCUUGCUGUUUUGACGUUACCAACAGAAUAAGCACCGGCUAACUUCGUG